UCCGGUUUCUGCCGAUCGAGCGGCUACUCCGGGUAAGUGGGUGACAUUACUCUACCAUAUGGGCCUCUCAUGGGCCUCGUCCUCUAAAGUUCCCACGCUUGGCCAAUUUCCUUCAUUCGUACACACACCACAGGCCACCCUGUUCUCCUCUCCUUCACGCACGACACCACCGUCUCCUCCUUGCCGCUAUUGUCCUGCACAGCCACUGUUCCCACGGACCAGGUGAGCUGCACAACAAUAUGGAGAGAUCUGGAUGGAAUCGCGAGCUAGGAAGGUGCAAAGUGGAGUUGCUAUUGUGUAAGGCCACUCGAGCGCUCUUGAAGGAUCAAGCGGAAGAGAAUUGAGCUGCUCGACCAGAGGCUACUAUAUUUCUAGAUCGUGCGACUAUAACCGCUCAAGCGGUACUUGACGGGCAGUCUUCCGAGUUUGACUAAAAGUAAGUUUCUUUUGACUCCUAGGUUUAGUAUAAAAGGGAGGCUAUGCCUUUAGGGUAAGAAAAAAAAUAACAAUUUUUCCGUGGUUUCCAAGCAACGGAGCAACUCUUCUCCAAGGCUUUGUAAGGAAGUGAGAUUGGAGGCGUGCUAUCAACCGGAGUUUCAUCAAUUCAAGGGGUUUUCAUUCAUCUCUCUAUUUAUGUUAUCUUUUCCUAGAAUUGAUUGGAUUACUCAAAGAAUGAAUUGUAACUAAACUCUUUUGCUAGGGCUAUGAUGUAGCCUAGCUUUUCUCGAUUGAAGUCAACGUUUCUAUAAAUUCCUGAAAAUUAUUCAUU